UCUGGUAGCAAUUGCGGAGGGGUUCCACGCGUACCCAUCCCGAACACGACCGUUAAGACCUCCAGCGCCGAUGGUACUUGGACCGCAGGGUCCUGGGAGAGUAGGACGUUGCCAGGC
rnacentral:rRNA from 1 species